AGUGGCGAGGUCUCUCUCAAC
rnacentral:misc_RNA from 1 species